AUAAUUAUAGAUAUAUAUUAUAUAUACACAUAAUUAUGUAAUAGAGUUACAGGGCUGUUCUGAGGCAAAAUGGUGGAAUCAUGCAGGCUCCUUAUCCUUCAAUACCCAGCACCCUUGCCCUUUCUCUUAGAGAACCAGCAGAACCAUUUAAACAAAGUCGCUGGGGGCAUAACCAAAUAAUACAUAUUGAAGAACACCUAUGUCCUUUAAAACUUCUCUUCAAAGCAGCAUUAGCUGUGAGGUAGCUAGGGAAGAAUGAAUAUCCUUAUUUUAAAGAUGAGAAAACAAAAGUUCCAUGAAGUUCAGGACUUGCCAAAAGGCCACACACUAAAGAACAGAGCUGGGAUUCAAACACUUCUUACUUUAAAACCAUGUCCUUCCUCCUAAGAGUUUUGCAUCUUAAAAGAAGACUGCAGGAGAUGGUGGUACUUUACACAAUAUGACGAUUUGGUGAUGUGGAAAGCUUUGGAGGAAGAUAUUUGGUUGACACGUCAAAGGCAUUAUGAGGAACAAGAUGAAACUCAAAGGUAAGAUUUAUAAACAUACUAUCCCUGCUCUUAGAUUAAGUGUCCCUGAAGACUUCAGCCUAAAGUGGAUCUCUCUAAGUCAGAAUCCUGAUCAUGCACAUGCUGAUGUCUUCUCUUUGGACGUCAGUGCGAACCCUUAAGUGACUAUGUAAAUCUGACGACAGUGAAACACAACUAUUUAUUUGUUGGUGUUGAAUGGGAGGAGGUGCAAAAUGUGAAGCAGUAACAAAUGGAAACUUCCUGCAGACCUAGAGGAAUGACAAGGAUAUUUCAGGCAUGUACUGAGGUAUUAAAAUAUAAGUGUACCAUGGAAAGGAUGCGGACUCUGCAGCCUGGAUGCAAAUCCUGUCUGUGACAAUUAUAGCUGUGUAACCACGGCAAGUCACUUAACCUUCCUGUCUGAGUUCCCACAGUACAACCUCCCAGGGUUAUUGCAAGAAUUAAAUAAAAUAAUGUGUGCAAAGCACUUAAAACGUGCCUGGACAUAGUGCACUCCAUAUAAAUGGGAGCCCUUGGUAUUAUCACCGUCAUUAUUGUUAUGGACAAUUGCAAAGGCAGGAAGGGAUGUAGAAUGCAUGGAGCAUCAGCAGGGAAGGCUCAAGAAUGUGGACUCUAAACUGGGCUUUGAUACAUAGAAAUUUUCAAGUGAUGGAAAUGGGCAGUGAUUCUGGGUGUAGGGAACAGAAUAAGCCAAAGUCCAAAGGAAAACAGUUUGAGAUAUGCUUAGAGAAAAAGCAGGCAGUCUAGCUGGAGCUUAUGAUGUUGCUGGGACGUAGGGAGUGAUAAGGCUGAACGGGGAAAAAUUACAGGGUUUGGCAACAUUUUGAUAUGAUAACUGAAGAAAAAGGAGGUGCUUUGUAUAAUCCAAAUAUAAGCUGUACAUCUACAUAGCUCAGUGUCAAAGCAACACUGAACUAAAAAAAAGUCUAACAAUCAAAAGUAUUUUAAAACUAAUUUAAAAUUUUACUUGCCAUUCUCUAAGAACUUUAAAAAGCAUACAAUUCAUAGUUUAGGAACAAUUCUUAAACUUCCCCUUUCUGUCUUUAGUACUUAGAACUCAUCAGCUUUGGAGCUUCUCACUCUUCUAACCUCUUACUUUCCAUUUCUUUUUCCUGGAAACGCUCUCGAAAGCCUCAGCCCAUGAGGCGCUUGUCUUUUGUUCUUUUCUUUCCUUCCUUCUGCUUCUUCAGUCUUAUCUUUGUUUAUCCAUUCUCUUGAUUUUGAAUCAUGAAACUCAAGGGACCAUCCUGAAAAAGGCAGAACUCUCCUAAGAGGGCAGGCUUAGCCAAGCUAUCAGAGACAACUUCUCUUACGGGUAGGGGCAGAGAGAUUGGGAACAUGCUCAUAUUAAUACAUUUUAAAAUUCAUCAAACAAAGAUAACACUAAGAUUUGGAGCCUUGGUGAUAAGAUAAUGGAAGAUAUACCAUCAAGAAAUAAAAGUGCUUUGGGGGUAAGAUGUUGUGUUUGGAACUGAACAUGAAUUGGAGGCUAGAACAUCAUCAUUUGGAUAUAGAUGGAGAAAAGAAAGCUGGAUAAAUAAGUCAUGCAUUUAGACUGGUUUGAGCAUCAUGCUCAGAUAAGUGAUAGUUAAUGCUGUAGGAAUGAAUGAGAAGAGAAAUAGAGGGAAAAAAAAAGAAAUAUGCGGGUUACAGACAGAAUUUUGGACCAUACCUGCAUUUCAGAGAGAGGACUCAUGAAAGGAGAGGGAGGUCUCAUCCAGACCAAUUCCAUCAGAAUCUCUGGAGCUGAAUUCACGCAUUAAUGUUGCUUAAAGCUCCCAAAGUGAUUCCAUAUGCAGCCCAUGUUGAAAACCAUUGUUCUAGUGGCUUAUACAAUGCUUAAUGGUUUUUAGGGUUUUACAAGGAAAGCAGUGGUUAAGGAAUGAAGUUCUAGUUCAUGGGAUUUAAAAUCCAGAAACUCUUAACACUCUCAUUUUGUUGAGGAACCUGAGGCUCUAAGAGAUUGAUUAAUUUUGGACCUUAAACAAGACACUUAAUGAAUUUCCAGCCUACUGCUUGCCUCCACGGUCACUGAUACAAAUCCCUCCUUCUCCUCUUUUCUCACUCCCGCCUUCCUCACCCUAGCCCAGGUCGUCUACCACUCUUGUCCUGAAAAUUCCUGACCCUAGUUCUAAAACUGGCCCGUCCUUCCAAAGACUCUCAGUUCAGGUUUUAAAACACCAACAAUCUGUCCGGUUAAAGGCUCACUCAAGGUACUUUCAGCAGCGGCAGACCAUGCUGCCAGAGGAAAGCUGUUUAAGGGGAAUUUCUUAUAACUUUGUGAGCCUGGAAGGAAAGUUAACCUCUAGAAGAUAAUGGGAGGGAGGGAGGCAGCCUAUAUUUUGAGGUACUGGAGGUGAAGAUGCCCGACUUCUAGCCCAGGCCCCUCCUGAGAGACUCCAGCAAUGCCCCCCAUACUGUUAUAAAGUGCGGCCAAGUCUGGGGCUGUGGUGGUGAGUCCUGCCAGAGCUGACGAGGACACAGCAUUUGUGGGAAUUCUGUGACUCAAGAGGCAAAGGGUCAGUUUCUUUUCAUUGACUGUGUUCUUGCUGCCCAAGAGUUUAUCUCUGAGAAUCUUGACUGGUUUCCAGGGUCAGGCUUCACCUCCAUUGUUAUCUGGAAACACAGGAACAGCCGUUUUGUCGUGCCAGAAUGGGUGAGACAACACCAUUCCUUAUGCACCAUAAUCACGCUCUUCCCACAGAGUAAAGUUCCACACACUUCCAAAAGAGCUAGAGGAGGAUUUUUUUUUUUAAAAGUCACAAACCAGCUUGUGUUUCUCUUAUACGCAGACAUUUGUGCUUGAUUUGUACCCUCCUCUAUAUUUCAUUUUCUCUGUGGUUCCACAAAAUACCCAUGAAUAUGUUCUAACAAUGGAAUACACCCUGGAGCUUGAGACACACUGGAAUCCCUUGCAAACACUAAUCUUUCACUCAUCCUCAUACACAAAAAGGAUAAGCACAUAUAACCCCUGAACUCGCAUGUGACUCCAUCAGCCCACACGCACACUCAACGUGGGUUCAGGUUACAUGUGUGCUGCUUACGUGAUGGUUCACGCAACCUCACCUGGAGGUUUAUGUCCACAGGGCCUGUUUAUUCCUAGCAGAGCCGGCAUCUGUGUUCACAGUCACAUGAAAAAUACACCAUUAGGUUUCUGAGAAACAAAUGGCAACAGAGGAGAGCCAGGGCAGCUGAAAAAAUGGAACUGCUCCUUCCUGCUCUGUCCUGAAGCAAAGCAAUCAAACUGUUUUGGGUGACGCUAGUGUGCUGAGUUCCAGUGUGGACUCUCACAACAGACCCUGAUUUAAUUCCAAGGCCAUGAGCAGCAGUCUCCUCCCCAGCGAUGUCUGUUGGGUUCCUCCAGCUGUCUUCAGGGCAGUUCUCCCUCAGUGCAAACUAUUAGCAUUUCCUGUUAAAACAUUUCUAAUAAAUAAAUGAAUACAUCAUCUCCCCAACCCAAAACAGGUCUCAAAGCAGCCUUAGGAACUGCUCUGAGCUAAGGACCGACAUGGACCACCCAGCACCAACCCACUGGCCCAGAGCCAAUGCUGCUUUUGUUUGAAUUCCUGUAUGAGUAACUGCUCGGGCUGACGCCAGCCAAACUCAGUGAAAUAUUAUUUUUAAUAUUAAAUAAAUAGAUGG